CGGAGCAAGACCGCGUGGGGAAGAAGGCUCUUGGGUUGUAAACCCCUUUUCUCUGGGAAGAAAGUUGUGAAAGCAACCUGACGGUACCAGAGGAAUCAGCAUCGGCUAACUCCGUGCCAGCAGCCGCGGUAAGACGGAGGAUGCAAGCGUUAUCCGGAAUGAUUGGGCGUAAAGCGUCCGCAGGUGGCAGUUCAAGUCUGCUGUCAAAGACCGGGGCUUAACUUCGGAAAGGCAGUGGAAACUGAACAGCUAGAGUAUGGUAGGGGCAGAGGGAAUUCCUGGUGUAGCGGUGAAAUGCGUAGAGAUCAGGAAGAACAUCGGUGGCGAAGGCGCUCUGCUGGACCAUAACUGACACUCAGGGACGAAAGCUAGGGGAGCGAAUGGGAUUAGAUACCCCAGUAGUCCUAGCCGUAAACGAUGGAUACUAGGUGUUGUCUGUAUCGACCCGGACAGUGCCGUAGCUAACGCGUUAAGUAUCCCGCCUGGGGAGUACGCACGCAAGUGUG
rnacentral:rRNA from 1 species